rnacentral:lncRNA from 1 species
CGGCCCUCAAUUGUAUACAACUUGAGGUCCUCUUCUCCACCUCUUCCUGCUCAGUACUCCAUGUGGUUCCCUUCUGCUCUGUGCUUCACCCAUUAGUCCCUCCAUAUUACAUCCUCAGAACUGGAUACCACUGGGAAGUAACGUCCUUCAAGCCAGGCAACAGGACGCUGGAAGAAUAAUGUGGGUUUGAGGCAUUUUGAUCUUAAACUUCAAGGAAAUGGAAAAAGACCAGCAAUAUGGGACCAAGAGGAUUCAACAGUAAAGUAAGGACCAAAAAAAAAAUAAUGACCGAAUUAGGUGAAGAAGAAAGCCUUCCACAUAAUCAGCCAUAUGAAAUGCUGCUGACAGAUUAAAAGGGAAAAGCAUAAAGUUAUCAUCUUCAUCAUAGAUAUUGAAAAGUAUUUGAUGGAAUUCAUCAUUCAUUCCAGAUUUGAAUAUACGUAUAAUCAAACUAGAAAGAAAAUGUAAUAUGUUAAAAGAAUCCUACCAGAACCUACAUCAAAUAUUAUACUUAAUGUUGAAACAUUGAAGGAAACCACAGACGAGCAUGUUUAAUGUCAGCACAGCUGUGCAGCACUGAUGUGCCCAUUCUAGUCAGUGCAAUAAGGUGAGUUCAAACAGUAAUCUAUAAACCUGGGGCAAUGAGG